rnacentral:rRNA from 1 species
GACGAACGCUGGCGGCGUGCUUAACACAUGCAAGUCGUACGGAAAGGCCCUGCUUUUGUGGGGUGCUCGAGUGGCGAACGGGUGAGUAACACGUGAGUAACCUGCCCUUGACUUUGGGAUAACUUCAGGAAACUGGGGCUAAUACCGGAUAGGAGCUCCUGCUGCAUGGUGGGGGUUGGAAAGUUUCGGCGGUUGGGGAUGGACUCGCGGCUUAUCAGCUUGUUGGUGGGGUAGUGGCUUACCAAGGCUUUGACGGGUAGCCGGCCUGAGAGGGUGACCGGCCACAUUGGGACUGAGAUACGGCCCAGACUCCUACGGGAGGCAGCAGUGGGGAAUAUUGCACAAUGGGCGGAAGCCUGAUGCAGCAACGCCGCGUGCGGGAUGACGACCUUCGGGUUGUAAACCGCUUUCGCCUGUGACGAAGCGUGAGUGACGGUAAUGGGUAAAGAAGCACCGGCUAACUACGUG